CCGGUGAGAAGGGGAACAUGACAUAUACCCUCGUCAGCUGCAAGAAAGGAACCACGAGACAGGUGACUGAUGCCCGGUGAGAAGGUGAACGUGACAUAUACCCUCAUCAGCUGCAAGAAAGGAACCACGAGACAGGUGACUGAUGCCCGGUGAGAAGGUGAACGUGACAUAUACCCUCAUCAGCUGCAAGAAAGGAACCACGAGACAGGUAAUUAAU